CCCUGGCAGCUGUGUCCGUGGAGCUCCGUGCACCCCGAGAGGACGGGAGGACCGGAGUCCCGCAGCAAGGCUUUCGCUGCUCUCACCUCCCGAGAACCUGGCGGUGUCCAUGAAGGGUCAGGCUCAGGCCGAGGGCACCGUGGCGGCGCCUUCGCCUCCCCAACGCCCGGCUCAGCGCAGGGCCCCGCGUGAGUUAUGUUUGUAAGAAAAAGCACGAAAAGGCUCCGCUCCCCUAAAGGGUCUGCAGGCGACGAGGUCUCCGCUCGGACACACGGAAAUGUGGAACGCGCAAAUGGAAACAUCUGGAAACAAGGCAGUGGUCUUGGCCAGGAAAAAAGGAGCCGCGCUGGGCGUGUUGACCUGUGGCCAGUAUGUUUCUCCGCACGGGCAUCGCUAACCAUCUGGCGAACAGCAUCUCGUCUCGUACCAGCGUCCGAAGAAGGGAAGUGCCUUCUUCAUUUUGCGGAAAAGAACAUGGAGAUGCUGAAACCGGUUUGGCUCGGUGGAUAGAGCGUCGGUCUGCGGACUGAAAGGUCCCAGG